AUACUCUGGUUUCUCUUCAGAUUGUAUAAAUCUUUCGCCUUUUACUAAAGAUUUCCGUGGAGAGGAACAUUUAUGAGUUUCAAUUUAUAAGAUAUGGGACUUGUUUUAUCAGUGGC